ACGCGCCGCAGGUCAGGACUAGGCUGGAGCCGAGCCGCGGGGCUCGCGGAGGCGGCGGCGGCGGCGGCGGCUACUGCUGGGGGAGCCUGGCCAGGGCCCGCGGCGGAGGCCGUGGCUAGUACUGGGAAGGUGGCGGGGAGGGACGCGGGAGGAAGAUGGCGACGUCGGGGGCGAACGGGCCCGGCUCUGCCACGGCCUCGGCUUCCAAUCCGCGCAAGUUUAGUGAGAAGAUCGCGUUGCAGAAGCAGCGUCAGGCCGAGGAGACGGCGGCCUUCGAGGAGGUGAUGAUGGACAUCGGCUCCACCCGGGUGAGGGGCCGCGCCGGGGAGCGGGAGCGAAGCGGAGCAGUUACGGAGCGGAGAGGCGGGGCAGGGGCGGGAGCCGCAGCCCUGGAGGCGGAACAGGGUUGAGGCGACGGCGGCGGGCGCCGCCGUCUGGGAGGCUCGGGUUGAGGGCCGAGGGGACUGGAAGACGAAUUUUGCUCGGGAGAUGGAAAUACAGGAGAGGUGGGGGAUGUGGGUGCGACUGGGGGCCGAGUACGUGAGUCGGAGAUGGGCCGAGAGGGAAGAUGGGCCCCCGAAGGCCAGGGGAGGUGGGGAGUCCUUGUGCGUGCCGGGAGGAGUCCCCUUGGGGACUCCACUGAAGCAUCCCAGAUCUUGGGUUAUGGAUUUUAGGAUGGACUGCUUGUCCCUAAUUUGGUUCUUCUGAGGUUGUGCUCUCUAGACUGGUCUCUGCCCUGUUGUGCCGCUCUCAGCACUUUGGUAUCUACGGGAAAGGGCCCCUUGAGUGGUUUGAACGAGCAGUGUUGGGUAUAGUGGGGCAGGAAGUCCCCUCCUGCGUCCCGUCCCUUUGCUUCCUUUUUCAAGUACUUCUUGUGGUUUCCUGACGUGAGUGAAGGUGAGGUCCACUGCUCACAGGCUGGUGCUCCAUCUUUUGCCUUGGCCGCCUUGAAGGAAAAGUAGAGUUUUGAAUCCCAAAACUGGGUAACUGAUUUUUUUCUUUUUAGGUUGCAUAGAACCCGAUGAUUUGCUGGACUUUCUAGGGAGAUGCUGCCCUGUGGGUCAGUUUCUGGAGUGCCUCGGAGGGUCCCCCAUGAGGAGGGUAUAUUCAUUCCUAGGAAAUUCUUAGAAUUUUCAGGUCUCUGACAAGCUGCCUCUGAAGCCCCUCUGGCCUUGGUUUCUUGCUGCCCAAGGCUGGAUGUCCAAGGGCCACUGUCAAAAGAGUUUGCCCAGCUGGUAUGCAGUGCUAAUUUAGGGACACAUUAUUCUCAAAUAAUAGGUGAGAGGAUUUUGCUGUGAUCCCUCAUGGCAAAGAACUGGAAGAAAUUUAAAGGGAGAUGGUGGACAUAAGUGUCGCAUUUCAACGCUCCUUGUGAUUGCAUCUAUCAAUGAUUAUGUCUCUUGAUUAUAUUUUUGUGUGCCUCUUCCUUGAUUCUGUUAGUCUCUUUUGUGUUUUUCCCCUCUGAGUCUCUAGGGACCAUGUGCCCUAGAUUAUGAGAGCCAAAACAGAAAAAGAUAGGUGGGGAGGCAAGUGUGUGUGUGUGUGUGUGUGUGUGUGUUUGUGUACACAUACACAGGCAUAUGCUUGCAUAACCCACUCUAACUACUAUGAGGAUUAUGCUCUAACGCUUGACUGCUCUCUAGGAACUUUUGAUCAUAGCGGUACAGAGAGAAGAUGGGAGAGGGGCUCAUCCUCAGCUGAGAGCUCUGCCCUCUGGACCAGGAUUCUAGCAGAGGCAUGGUGUGAUCUUAGGGCUUGUAUGUGCAAACAAGGCUGUGAGAAACUCAAAGCUGGGAUUCCUAUUUGUGGUGCUUUGGUUCAUCAAAAGGACCUUCUACCUGCCUUUUCUCUCCUGAUUCUUUUCUGCUAUGUAAAAAAGUCUAGUGGACAUUCAUGGCCAGGGCCUGGGGACCUAAAAAUCUUGAACUAGCAAUGAGAGAUCUGGGGCUCAGCUUGUUACCUGGCCAGUUGGGAGGGCUCAUUUGAAUCAGAUAUGGCCAUAUUUGUUCUACUGAGAGGCUAGGGUUGCCAUAUUUAUUAACAGUGAUUUUGAAGGACCCAGAGGUAAGCACAGUGCCCACCAAACUCAGUGGGUUGAGCUCCUAGAACAGGAAUUCAGGUUUGAUGUACGCUUACAUGGCAACAGUGUGAUCCUGGAAGCUCUUGGAAUUUACCAUCCUCAGCUGUUCUCCUCCCCAUGGCCUUGCUCUGGGUCUCUUUGUCUGGUGGUAGUGACUGAGGACACAAAUCUGCAGGCAGGCUAAAUCCAUGUCAAGCUGAGGGAUAUGGUGUAUCACUUCUGUCCCAGACUUAUUUCUCUGAAAUAGGGGUAAGGGCCAGGGAGGUGGCUCUGGCCCAGGCUGGAGUGGGCUCCUGAGCCCCCUCCUACCUCCAUUCACUAGGCUUCCCUGCCAAUUAAGGGGCCUUAGGAUCCAGUGGAAGUAUUCUGCUUUUCUAGUGGGCAAAGCCAUUAUUUCCUGGAUCUUCUAAUUUGGGAGGUACAGGCUGUGAUUUGGCUGGGCAAGUGGCAUAGCCUAGUAGCCUGCGUUCUCUUUGAGUGUGAAGGAAAAAGGAUGGCAAUAAUGGAUCUAUGACAUCCACCUGUGACCUUGCCCUUCUAAUUAGUCCUGGGUAUAUCUGGAAAUGAAACCAGAAGUGCCUAAUAGGCACCCAUCUCUGUGACUAGUCCCUAGUAACCCCUAGGGACUCUGCUUAGACUGAUGCUGACCGAGCUAGGCAGCGGCGAUCUCACUGAUGAGGGUAGGCUACAGAAGGGCUGGGGGGUUGUUUGCACUAGGUCUCUGUGGGCCUUUCUCCUAGCACUGGCUUUUCUUUUUUUUUUUUCCUUUUUCCCUAGCAGAUACCUUAAAAGCUGCAGCAGCAUAUCCUGGUGACAGGGAUGGCAAGGAUGGCCAAAGGGAACAGUGCUCAGGACUCUCCCUGACAUUCCCAUUUGUCCUUCAUGUCUCAGUUACAGGCCCAAAAACUGCGACUGGCAUACACAAGAAGCUCCCAUUAUGGUGGUUCUCUGCCCAAUGUUAACCAGAUUGGCUGUGGCCUGGCCGAGUUCCAGGUGAGUGGACAUCAGCCAGGGAGGAGUGGAGGUUCCUCUGCUUCCUCUGCUGAUUACCUGUCCCUUUUGGCAGAGCCCCCUCCACUCACCUUUGGAUUCAUCUCGGAAUACUCGGCACCAUGGGCUGGUGGAACGGGUGCAGCGCGACCCCCGAAGAAUGGUGUCCCCACUCCGCCGAUAUCCCCGCCACAUAUCCUUAAUAGAGGACAGGGAGUCUGGGAGGUAGUGGGAAGGGGUUCUUCAGGGAGGCAUGGUAGGAAGGACUUACUUUCGCAGUACUGAGGGUUCCCUGCCACUCAGCUACACCCCAGCCCUUUUUAUUUUUUGAGAUAGGGUCUUACAAAGUCACUCGUGCUUACCUGGAACUUGUGAUCCUCCUGCCUCAGCCUUCUGAGUUGUGGGGUUACAGGCACGAGCCAUCACGUCCAUAGGAAGAGAUGUUAAAUGUUGCCUUGUUCCGUCCUUUUCCAGGAGCUUACCUUUACCCUGACUCAAUGAAAAGUGACCACAGUCAAUGUGUCAGGAGUUGCUGCUCCUCUCUGGCUGGUCUCAGCUGUCCUCACUUUGGCUCAGUCUGCUGCACAAGUAGUGGGCUCCCUAUGCUCUGACUAAGGAAGGCUUGAUCCCUUCGUUUCUGUUGUUUCAUUUCAGUCUCAGAGACCCAUAUACUCAUCUCCCCUAAGUCCUGCUCAGACAGUCUCCUAGAUUGUUCUCGCUCCAUUAUGCCUGAUACUUUUUUUUUUUUUAAACACAGUACUGAGGAUUGAACCCAGGGCCUUGCCAAUGCCAGGCAGGGACUCUGCUGCUGAGCUACAUACCCAGCUCCAAGCUCUGUUCUUUUUUUAAUUUCUUUCCAGUACGGGGGAUUAAACUCAGGGCCUUGUGCAUGCUAAGCAAGCACUUUACCAUUGAGCCACAUCCCCAGUCUCUUUUCAUUCUUUGACCCCAUUGUUGCCACUUGAAGAGAAAGAGAAAGAGAAAGGUUAUAUGUGUUUUGAAAUAGCUAUCUAGCCAGGCAUAGUGGCACACACCUGUAAUCCCAGCAGCUUGGGAGGCUGAAGCAGGAGGGUCGCAAGUUCAAAGCCAGCCUCAGCAACUUAGCAAGGCUCUAAGCAACUCAGUGAGACCCUAUCUCAAAAUAAAAAGGGUUGGGGGCCUGGGAUUGUGGCUCAGUGGUAGUGCACUUGCCUAGCACGCGUGAGGCACUGGGUCCCAUCCUCAGCACCACAUACAAAAAUAAAGUUAUUAAAAAACAACAAAAGGGCUGGGGAUGUGGCUCAGUGGUAAAGUGCUCUCGUACCAAAAAGAAAGAAAUAACUAUCUACUGUCUCCAUUGGUCGACUUUUUUGAGACAGGGUCUUGCUAAAGUUGCUGAGGCUAUUCUCAUACUUGGAGAUCUCCUGCUGCUCUGUUUACUCACUCUCCAUCUUCUUCCUUAACUGUUGCUGUUCACAUUGACAGUUCUCCCUACAGUCCCGCCUACUUAUCUCCUCCUCCAGAGAACAGCUGGCGAAGGUGAGUCCAGGUCAGGCAGUCCGCUGCCCACUCUGUCACUUUCUGAAGGAGCUGGGGCUUGGUUGGGAUACUGGACUAGGGUUUCAUCAGUACCUCCUCCUAUAUUGGCUUAGCUGGGAGGGUGGGGGCAGCAGGAGUAGGUGAUCAGAGUCCAGUCUUGGCGUGUUGACAUGUGUAGCCAAAGCAGGACCAAUAGAACUGGAGCCAAGCUGGGUGUGUGUGAGAGUGUGUGUGUGUGUGUGUGUGUGUGUGUAUGGGGGAGGGGAGAAAGGCAGGGUUACAGGUGAAAAUGGCUGCCUUCUGUCAAGGGUGGGUGCCAGAUACAGUGCAGGGAAACUAUUAGAUCUCUGAACCCCUCCACUCUCCAUCUUAGCCCUAGCACUCACGUCCAAAAGAGGCUCUGAGCUCCAAAUUUCCUGUUCAGCUUGUCCUGGCAGAGAGGAGUGGAGAAGUUUCCAGAUCUCUUAGAUUGACUGGGGGAGGGGAUUCAUGGGUCACAGGCAUCAGAAGAACCAGAAAGAGCAAAGAAUUAUUCUGGUGCCCGUCCUCUCUUUCCAUCGGGGCUGCCUCACAUUCCCAGCCCCCAUGUCUGCUUUCUUGUCACUGCCAGCAUUCUUCCUCCUCCUCACUCUGUUUUUCUACCCCAGGAUGAUGCCCUGGAGCAAUUUCCCUGCAGAGAAGGGGCAGUUGUUUCGACUACCGUCUGCACUCAACAGGUGAUGGCCCUUGCCUUAUUUAGGCCGUAUCUUCUUUAAUCUGCACUUUCUGGGGCCCUGUUGCUUCACCCCACACUGUUGUAGCCCAUCUAAUGUCUCCCCUGCUGGGCGGGGCUGGGCCACUGGGAAAAUCAUUACCGCUGCCAUUGCUGCUGCUGCUGUUUUUUUCCUUAAUUUAAUUUUAUUUAUCUUUAUGUGGUUCUGAGGAUGGAACCCAGGGCCUCCCACGUGCUAGGCGAGCGUUCUACCGCUGAGCCACAACCCCAGCCCCCUGCCAGUGCUUCUUUACUCCCCAAACAGGACAAGCUCUGACUCGGCCCUUCACACAAGUGUGAUGAACCCCAACCCCCAGGACACUUAUCCAGGACCCACACCUCCUAGUGUCCUACAAGGCCGUCGUGGGGGUAAGUGGCCAAAUCCCAGGGUAGGGAGUAGCUGUGAGCUUUUGAUAGAAUCAGAUUGGUAAGUGAGGGCUGCUGCCAACUCCGCUGCAUCCCUUGCAGGUUUUCUGGAUGGUGAAAUAGACUCCAAAGGUAUGUGUUCUUCAACACAUUGUGGAGACCAAAUGCCAAUAGAAUUUCUGGGCUGACAUUGGAGACUUCAUGCAGGGUUAGGACACAGGACUCCCUCUGCCUGUCUCUGCUUCCUGUGUGCCUUCCUGGCUCCUUCUCCAGCCUCCCCAUCACCUGUCUUUCUCUUUCAAGUCCCUGCUAUUGAAGAGAACUUGCUAGAUGACAAACAUUUGCUGAAACCAUGGGAUGCUAAGAAGGUAGGUGUGGGCCACUGGAUGUCACCCACCCUUCCCUUCCCAUGGGCAGGCUUCUAGAGUUCCCUCCUGAGCUCUGUCCUCAUUUUCCACAUUCUUCCUUAGCUGUCCUCAUCCUCCUCGCGACCUCGGUCCUGUGAAGUUCCUGGAAUUAAGUAAGUUCCUUUAUAAGGCUGGCUGAGAAUAGGAGUGAGGGAGGGAAGUCCAGGGCCGUGUGGAAGAUGGAUCUGUGCUCUUCCCUGACUCCCUCCCCUCCAUUUACACCUUUCUUUCUUUUUCUCUCCCUCCCCUAGCAUCUUUCCAUCUCCUGACCAGCCUGCCAAUGUGCCUGUCCUCCCAGCUGCCAUGAACACUGGGGGCUCCUUACCUGACCUCACCAACCUGCACUUUCCUCCACCGCUGCCCACCUCCCUGGACCCUGAAGAGACAGCCUAUCCCAGCCUGAGUGGGGGCAAUAGUACCUCCAAUUUGACCCACACCAUGACUCACCUGGGCAUCAGUGGAGGUCUGGGCCUGGGCCCGGGCUAUGAUGCACCAGGUGAGUGGCUUUCCUGGCUGUGUAUGUGCCCACCAGAUGCUGCCUGACUAGAGGGAUGGAGGGUCGGGAGGUUUGAGCUGGAUCCUAUAAUGCCCACCAGUCCAGCAACCCGGCACCCCCGGAUCCCUGUACUGCAAUUCUCAGCCUAUGAGAACUGGUAGGUGUGACUUUCCUACAAAGAAGAUGGAGAACCACCCCCAGGUGGGCUGUGCCAAUCUCACUGGCAGGAACAGAAUAGGAAGGACAUUGUGUUGCCACUUUCAUAGUCCAGUCACUGCAACCCAUUCGGGGUGGAAAGGAGCCUGGUUCUCAUCAGUAAUGUUGUCAUCUCUGGUUUUUUGUCUGUGCCUGCAGGACUUCAUUCACCUCUCAGCCACCCAUCCCUGCAGUCCUCCCUAAGCAAUCCCAACCUCCAGGCUUCCCUGAGCAGUCCUCAGCCCCAGCUCCAGGGUUCCCACAGUCACCCCUCACUGCCUGCCUCCUCGUUGACCCGCCAUGCACUGCCCACCACCUCCCUGGGCCACCCAUCACUCAGUGCCCCGGCCCUCUCCUCCUCCUCUUCCUCUUCCUCCACUUCCUCACCCAUCCUGGGCACUCCCCCUUACCCAGCUUCUACCCCUGGGGCCUCCCCCCGUCACCGCCGUGUCCCCCUCAGCCCCCUGAGUUUGCCCGCGGGCCCAGCCGACGCCAGAAGGUCCCAACAGCAGCUGCCCAAACAGUUUUCGCCAACAAUGUCACCCACCUUGUCUUCCAUCACUCAGGUAUGCGUGGCUGCUUCCCCACACGUCUGUCUCCCUUCCUCUUCUCUUCUCCUGCAGAGUUUCUCCCUCCAGCCCUCCUUUCCUCAGAUACCUCCUCCCCUUACUUUCUGCACCCUUUGUCUCAUCCAUCCCCUGCUACCCCUGUGUGUC
rnacentral:lncRNA from 1 species